GUGGGGAAUAUUGGACAAUGGGGGCAACCCUGAUCCAGCCAUGCCGCGUGAGUGAUGAAGGCCUUAGGGUUGUAAAGCUCUUUUAUCCGGGACGAUAAUGACGGUACCGGAGGAAUAAGCCCCGGCUAACUUCGUGCCAGCAGCCGCGGUAAUACGAAGGGGGCUAGCGUUGCUCGGAAUCACUGGGCGUAAAGGGCGCGUAGGCGGUCUUUUAAGUCGGGGGUGAAAGCCUGUGGCUCAACCACAGAAUUGCCUUCGAUACUGGGAGACUUGAGUUCGGAAGAGGUUGGUGGAACUGCGAGUGUAGAGGUGAAAUUCGUAGAUAUUCGCAAGAACACCGGUGGCGAAGGCGGCCAACUGGUCCGACACUGACGCUGAGGCGCGAAAGCGUGGGGAGCAAACAGG
rnacentral:rRNA from 1 species